rnacentral:lncRNA from 1 species
GCAUCCCCCCUGGCAUGCCACCAGGGGAUCCUCCAGGCAUACCCCCAGGAAAGCCUCCUGGCAUUCCCCCAGGAAAGCCUCCUGGCAUUCCCCCAGGAAAGCCUCCUGGCAUUCCCCCAGGAAAACCGCCCGGCAUUCCCCCAGGAAAACCUUCCGGCAUUCCCCCAGGAAAACCUUCCGGCAUGCCUUCAUGAGUUCUACUGGAUGAUGACUGCUCUUGCUUCUUAGCCUUCUCAUAUGCAGCC